AUUGAACGCUGGCGGCAUGCCUUACACAUGCAAGUCGAACGGUAACGCGGGGCAACCUGGCGACGAGUGGCGAACGGGUGAGUAACGCAUCGGAACGUGCCCAGUAGUGGGGGAUAGCCCGGCGAAAGCCGGAUUAAUACCGCAUACGACUCACGGGUGAAAGCGGGGGAUCGCAAGACCUCGCGCUAUUGGAGCGGCCGAUGUCAGAUUAGGUAGUUGGUGGGGUAAAGGCCUACCAAGCCUUCGAUCUGUAGCUGGUCUGAGAGGACGACCAGCCACACUGGGACUGAGACACGGCCCAGACUCCGACGGGAGGCAGCAGUGAGGAAUAUUGCGCAAUGGACGAAAGUCUGACGCAGCCAUGCCGCGUGCAGGAUGACGGCCGUAUGGGUUGUAAACUGCUUUUGUACGGGAAUAAACCCUUCUACGUGUAGGAGGCUGAAGGUACCGUAAGAAUAAGCACCGGCUAACUCCGUGCCAGCAGCCGCCGUAAGAC
rnacentral:rRNA from 1 species